rnacentral:rRNA from 1 species
CAUGUAGGCGGCAUGACAAGUCUGGUGUGAAAUAUCUCGGCUCAACCGAGAAAACGCACUGGAAACUGCCAAGCUUGAGUAUCGGAGGGGAAGCUAGAAUUCCUGGUGUAGGGGUGAAAUCUGUAGAUAUCAGGAAGAAUACCGGUGGCGAAGGCGAGCUUCUGGCCAGAUACUGACGCUGAGAUGCGAAAGCGUGGGGAGCGAACAGGAUUAGAUACCCUGGUAGUCC